rnacentral:misc_RNA from 1 species
UCCGAGUUGACCCUGUCUCCAGGCUUCUGGCGUAUGUCAAACCCAGGUAAGGUUCUUCGCGUUGCAUCGAAUUAAUCCGCAUGCUCCGCCGCUUGUGCGGGCCCCCGUCAAUUCCUUUGAGUUUUAAUCUUGCGACCGUACUCCCCAGGCGGGAAGCUUAAUGCGUUAGCUGCGCCACCGACAAGUAAACUUGCCGACGGCUAGCUUCCAUCGUUUACGGCGUGGACUAC